rnacentral:rRNA from 1 species
CCUACGGGUGGCUGCAGUGAGGAAUAUUGGUCAAUGGGCGUAAGCCUGAACCAGCCAAGUCGCGUGAGGGAUGAAGGUUCUAUGGAUCGUAAACCUCUUUUAUAAGGGAAUAAAGUGCGGGACGUGUCCCGUUUUGUAUGUACCUUAUGAAUAAGGAUCGGCUAACUCCGUGCCAGCAGCCGCGGUAAUACGGAGGAUCCGAGCGUUAUCCGGAUUUAUUGGGUUUAAAGGGUGCGUAGGCGGCCUUUUAAGUCAGCGGUGAAAGUCUGUGGGUCAACCAUAGAAUUGCCGUUGAAACUGGGAGGCUUGAGUUGGCGAGAAGUACGCGGAAUGCGCGGUGUAGCGGUGAAAUGCAUAGAUAUCGCGCAGAACUCCGAUUGCGAAGGCAGCGUACCGGCGCCAGACUGACGCUGAGGCACGAAAGCGUGGGGAUCGAACAGGAUUAGAUACCCCAGUAGUC